rnacentral:tRNA from 5 species
UCUAAUAUGGCAGAUUAGUGCAAUGGAUUUAAGCUUCAUAUAUAAAGUAAUUUACUUUUAUUAGAA